UACGAAGGGGGCUAGCGUUGUUCGGAAUGACUGGGUUUAAAGGGUGCGUAGGUGGGCAAGUAAGUCAGUGGUGAAAUCUCCGGGCUUAACCCGGAAACUGCCAUUGAUACUAUUUGUCUUGAAUACUGUGGAGGUCAGCGGAAUAUGUCAUGUAGCGGUGAAAUGCUUAGAUAUGACAUAGAACACCAAUUGCGAAGGCAGCUGGCUACACAAAUAUUGACACUGAGGCACGAAAGCGUGGGGAUCAAACAGG
rnacentral:rRNA from 1 species